rnacentral:tRNA from 1 species
GCCGACGUAGCUCAAUGGUAGAGCAACUCUCUUGUAAAGAGUAGGUUGUCGGUUCGACUCCGACCGUCGGCU